rnacentral:rRNA from 1 species
UACGUAGGGUGCAAGCGUUAAUCGGAAUUACUGGGCGUAAAGCGUGCGCAGGCGGUUAUACAAGACAGAUGUGAAAUCCCCGGGCUCAACCUGGGAACUGCAUUUGUGACUGCAUCGCUGGAGUGCGGCAGAGGGGGAUGGAAUUCCGCGUGUAGCAGUGAAAUGCGUAGAUAUGCGGAGGAACACCGAUGGCGAAGGCAAUCCCCUGGGCCUGCACUGACGCUCAUGCACGAAAGCGUGGGGAGCAAACAGG